GUGAUUCAGGUCUCCCCUCUCAGUCUCCUCUUCCACAGAAUUAGGGAGACUUCUCAAAUAUCUCCAGGAUCCCUUUCAAAUACGUAGUUUAGGCUUCUGAUAAAUUUUCCAAAUUUAGGCAGGAGAUCCCCACAGCUAAGUUUCUUUCCUCAUUUGUAUUCAGCAAGUGCUCAGAGAUAUAAAGAGACCCCCUGCCCACUAUGGGCAACCAGGUGCUCUGCUGGGUGGCCCUUUGUCUCUUGGGAGCAGGCACCAUGGAUGGUGGAAUCACUCAGAGCCCAAAAUACCUGAUCAGAGAAGAAGGAAAAGAUGUGACCCUGGAAUGUGAACAGAGUUUGGAUUAUGAUUACAUGUACUGGUACCGACAGGACCCAGGGCAGGGACUGAGACUCAUCUACUACUCGCUGUUUGUAAAAGAUAUUCAGAAUGGAGACUUAUCUGAAGGCUACAGGGUCUCCCGAGGAGAAGGCAUUCUUUCCUCUCACUGCAAUAUCGACUCAAAAGAACCAGACAUCCCUGUAUCUCUGUGCCAGUAGUAGAGACACAGUGAAGCACUGCCACCUCCUCUCUGUGCAUAAAUGUGUCCCAAGUCCUGCUUCUCCACCAGGUGGCAGGGCUUUUCUGGCCUCAGUACUCUGCCCUGCUGGCUUCCUUCCACCUCAAACAGGCCUCCAAAGCGGCUGCUGCCAUCAACACUCUUUGUUGAAUGGCAGGGUAGUUCAGUGA